GUACACGCUGUGACUAGCAUAUCAAUAAGUGGAGGAAAAGAAACUAACAAGGAUUCCCCUAGUAACGGCGAGUGAAGCGGGAAGAGCUCAAAUUUGAAAUCUUAAAGGGUUUCCCUUUACGAAUUGUAGUUUAAAGAAGUGUUUUCUGUUGAGGUUUUGGUAAAAGUUCUUUGGAAUAGGACAUCAUAGAGGGUGAGAAUCCCGUAUUUGACCUUUACUUUCAACUUUGUGAUACACUUUCAAAGAGUCGGAUUGUUUGGGAAUGCAGUCCAAAAUGGGUGGUAAAUUCAUCUAAAGCUAAAUAUUGGCGAGAGACCGAUAGCGAACAAGUACCGUGAGGGAAAGAUGAAAAGAACUUUGAAAAGAGAGUUAAACAGUACGUGAAAUUGUCAAAAGGGAAGCGUUUGACACCAGUGUUGUUUUUCUGAAAAUCAAUUAAAGAACUGUUUAUGCUAAGUUGUUUAGACUUUAUCAGCUAACUGCUUCAGUUUUGAGCUUUUCUUUAAUGCACUUUUCAGUUAACAAGUCAACAUCAAUUUCUUUUGCUGUAAAAAAGCUUGAGGAAGGUGGCUUGAGAUUCGUCUUAAGUGUUUAUAGCCUCUUGCCUAUGCAGUCGGAGAGAUUGAGGUCUGCAGCGUAGAUCCUUCGGGGCUAAAUGCAUUUGUGCUAAGUUAUAGCAUUUUAUAGACAACUUGUUGACUAUGAUUUGUCUUGUAGCUUACUCGCUUAUGUUAUUUUACCUACGCUUAGGAUGUUGACAGCAGUAUAGACUGU
rnacentral:rRNA from 1 species